rnacentral:tRNA from 1 species
GCUGGGAUAGCUCAGUUUGGUAGAGCAGUGGCCUGAAGAGCUUCGUGCCGGUGGUUCAAAUCCAUCUCCCAGCACCA